rnacentral:lncRNA from 1 species
AGACAGUCGCGCGGGGACCAUCGAGAACAAGGAGUGCUGUUUCGAAGUAGCGGCUAGAGGGGCCCCCUGCCUCCGCCCCCGCCCUUCCGAGGAUUCCUGGAGUCCACUCACCCCUCCCCACCACUCCAGUAGCGGCGGGAGCAGCAGCGUUAGGCCGGGGUGUGGCUGCACCUCUGCGAAGGCUGUCGUGCCCCGUGCAGCUGCGGCGUUCGGGUGGGGGAGGGGAGGCUCACACCCUGCGGCGGCUUAAGCCUGGAUUUACGCACUGGAGGAGGGAAUUAGCCCUGAGAUGUCAGCCCUGUGCCCCUGGCGCUGUCCACCCGGACGCCCGCGGAGCGCCAGGCGCCGCAGCGGACCGCGCGCGCACUGAUUGCCGCAGCUACUCUCCCUGCCGUCGCCGCCCGGGACCGGGUGACAUUGAGGUUUUCGUCUAUCGCCGCUGGGCCGAUAGGGCUUCUUUUUAAGAUUUGGCUUUCCAAGUAAGAUUUUUGUUUGCCUGCUUUUCUCCUGGAAUUUUUUUGUUUUUGGUCGAAGAAGCAGCUCCCACUUUGCAGUUGUGUCAGCCAAUCACGACAGCUUCCCAGACUUCCGUGCAAGUGCCUGCUUUGAGGCCAAGGUGGCCAUAAAUGGCAGCUCCUCAGGCUCCUCCACAAUCUCUGGUUUCUUAUGUUUCUCCAUGAGCUCAGCUUUUUCAUCAACUCCAAUGCUUCAAGCCGAAGUCAUUAGUGAAUGUUCUACAAUCCUUCAGCUGCAGCUCCAGACCUUCACUCCUCCAGCUUCUCCUACAUCCAUCUAACCCUCAAUUCCUACAUUAAAUCUCUUUAUUCCAGAAUACUUGCAGUGACUUUGUUUUCUCACUAUACCCAGUUAUUAGUAAGAUAAGUAGUUUCCAGGAAGCUACACUUUAAGGAUAAAAAUUUUCUGAUCCCAUGGGAUUUAAAGGUUUUAACGACCUCAUUGCCAGUGAUAAUGGCAUUGGUGGUCCAUGGCAUACAGUGGCAAAAUAGUUACUACCUUGGAUGACCAAGAAGUUGCUGCAAUAGGAUUAUAUAAUGGAAAUAAAGGGUACAAGGAUUGUGGAGUGGGUUGACUAUUUCAAAGUACACUGGAGAACUUAGAAAAAGAAAAAGAUAAGCUCAAGG